AGCGACGCCGCGUGAGGGAUGAACGGCCUGUCGGGUUGUAAACCUCUUUCAGUAGGGAAGAAGCGAAAGUGACGGUACCUGCAGAAGAAGCACCGGCUAACUACGUGCCAGCAGCCGCGGUAAUACGUAGGGUGCGAGCGUUAUCCGGAAUUAUUGGGCGUAAAGAGCUCGUAGGCGGUUUGUCGCGUCUGUCGUGAAAGUCCGGGGCUUAACCCCGGAUCUGCGGUGGGUACGGGCAGACUAGAGUGCAGUAGGGGAGACUGGAAUUCCUGGUGUAGCGGUGGAAUGCGCAGAUAUCAGGAGGAACACCGAUGGCGAAGGCAGGUCUCUGGGCUGUAACUGACGCUGAGGAGCGAAAGCAUGGGGAGCGAACAGGAUUAGAUACCCUGGUAGUCCAUGCCGUAAACGUUGGGCACUAGGUGUGGGGACCAUUCCACGGUUUCCGCGCCGCAGCUAACGCAUUAAGUGCCCCGCCUGGGGAGUACGGCCGCAAGGCUAAAACUCAAAGGAAUUGACGGAAUC
rnacentral:rRNA from 1 species